rnacentral:sRNA from 1 species
GUCACGCCCGAAGUCGUUACCCCAACUUUUCGGAGAGGGGGAUGCCGAAGGCAGGACUGGUGACUGGGGUGAAGUCGUAACAAGGUAGCCGUACCGGAAGGUGUGGCUGGAUCACCUCCUUUUAGGGAGACCUCAUCCACUCAAACAUCGAAAACAUCAAGUGAUUAGAUACUGAGAUGGUCAUUCCUAGGUCGGUCGAGUAUUGGUGAAAGCUUUCAAAGUAUUUUUGGUUCAGUUCAUUCAUAAAUAUCUAAGCUCUAACUUGGAAUAAAGAUUCAGCAAUUGAUUGUGUGGACAAUCGAACUGCUGGGUGAUUAUCCAGCCAGAACCUUGAAAACUGCAUAGUAACGCGAAAAAAAGCAGGCAGUGAAAAAAGUCACAAGUCAAAAGCCAAAAGUGAAAAACUGGAAGCCGAGACAAAAGACAAAAAACUGCAUGAAAACACCAAUGUAAUUGUGGUCAAGCUAAUAAGGGCUUACGGUGGAUACCUAGGCACACAGAGG